GGAAUUUUUGCUCAUUCAGCCACAAGCAUAUCAGCGAGGUCAGGUCAGGUGCCGAUGUUGGACGAGGAGACCUGGGGUGCAGUCAGCGUACCAGUUCAUUCCAAAGGUGUUCAAUGGGGUUGAGUUCAGGGCUCUGUGCAGGACACUUAAGUUCUCCCACUCCAACCGUGGCAAACCAUGUCUUCAUGGAGCGUGCUUUGUGCACGGGGGCAUUGUCAUGCUGGAAAAGGUUUGGGCCUCUUAGUUCCAGUGAAGGAAAAUUGUAAUGUUACAGCAUACAAAGACAUUCUAUACUAUAUUCUAUUAUAUAAGUGUGUGCUUACAACAGUUCGAGAAAGAACCACAUAUAGAUGUGAUGGUCAUCUGUCCACAACCUUUUGGCCAUAUAGUGUAUUAUAUGUUAUCAUUUUAACUGCAUAUAUAAGGGAGAAGAAAAAAAAAGUCUAAGGGUGUAGUGUUACAGGAAAAUAAUCAAGGAUGGGGAGGUGUGAUGCAGCCCAGCGUGAAGUUAGCAUCCCAAACUGGACUAUUUUCCUAUAACAGCACAUCCCAAAGUAUUUUAUUCCUCUUAUACUUCAGCAAUUUCCAACAAUUCAAAUCUAUACUGUACCUACCUUUUUUUAGCCAUUUAAAGUUGAUUUAAUGUGUGAAACUUACACACAAUAAGUUAGUUCAUAUUAUACCACAACGGAUUUAAUUUUCUCUAAAAGCAGCUCUCAGUCGUUCCAUCUGUAAUUCAAAUAAGUUUCCUGUGAGAUGUUUAUUUAUUUAUUGUUUAUACAAUUAUAGAAGGAGUCUCCAGUGUCAGAGCUUUAAAAGAGUUUCCAGUAUGAGAAAGUCUUCAGAACAGAGGAGGAUGUAGACAAGCUGCAGGGUGGUUCCGGUGCCUCAACCAGGAACUCUGUGUGUGGGACAGGAAUACACCCUGGAUGUGAAGCCUGGCCGUUUACAUACAUUCACACCCUAGAGUAGCCAAUCCACACACUAGUGUGUUUUUGGGAGGUGUAAGUAACCUGUAGAACCUUGGAAAUCCACUUGGACAUGGUGAGAACCUGUAAAACUGUAGUAAGCCGAGCUCAGGAUCACAC
ensembl:lncRNA